GAUGAACGCUGGCGGCGUGCCUAACACAUGCAAGUCGAGCGAUUCUCUUCGGAGAAGAGCGGCGGACGGGUGAGUAACGCGUGGGUUAUCUACCUCGGCAUCUGGAAUAACUCACCGAAAGGUGUGCUAAUACCGGAUACGUUGAGUAAUCAAGAAAGGUGGCCUCUCUUUGAUGCUACCGUGCUGAGAUGAGCUUGCGUACCAUUAGCUAGUUGGUGGGGUAAUGGCCUACCAAGGCGACGAUGGUUAGCGGGUCUGAGAGGAUGAUCCGCCACACUGGAACUGGAACACGGACCAGACUCCUACGGGAGGCAGCAGUGAGGAAUAUUGCGCAAUGGGGGCAACCCUGACGCAGCGACGCCGCGUGGAUGAUGAAGGCCUUCGGGUCGUAAAAUCCUGUCAGGUGGAAAGAAAUGUAUAUGUGCUAAUACCAUGUAUACUUGACGGUACCACCGAAGGAAGCACCGGCUAACUCCGUGCCAGCAGCCGCAGUAA
rnacentral:rRNA from 1 species